rnacentral:rRNA from 1 species
AACGAACGCUGGCGGCAGGCUUAACACAUGCAAGUCGAACGCGUGUAGCAAUACACGAGUGGCGCACGGGUGAGUAACACGUGGAUUAUCUGCCUCUUGGUUCGGAAUAACCCCGGGAAACUGGGGCUAAUACCGAAUGGUUCCUACGGGAUAAAGAUUUAUCGCCAAGAGAUGAGUCCGCGUCCGAUUAGCUAGUUGGUGGGGUAAUGGCCUAUCAAGGCGACGAUCGGUAGCUGGUCUGAGAGGACGAUCAGCCACACUGGGACUGAGACACGGCCCAGACUCCUACGGGAGGCAGCAGUGGGGAAUAUUGGACAAUGGGGGCAACCCUGAUCCAGCCAUGCCGCGUGAGUGAUGAAGGCCUUCGGGUUGUAAAGCUCUUUUGGCGGGGACGAUGAUGACGGUACCCGCAGAAUAAGCCCCGGCUAACUUCGUGCCAGCCGCCGCCGUAA